rnacentral:misc_RNA from 1 species
UAUUGUGCGCGGCUGGGAUCCCCGAGAGUCAAUGUCUUGCCUCUGGCCGGCGUAACUCUUGCCCAGUCUGCGUGAAUAUUCACCCAUGUUUUUGCGUACUUCUUGUUUCCUUGGUGGGCUCGCCCGCCAACCGGACACUGUUAAACCUUUUGUAAUUGCAGUCAGCGUCAGUACAAUUUAAUUAUUACAACUUUCAACAACGGAUCUCUUGGUUCU